rnacentral:miRNA from 1 species
CGUGUUCUCAGGUCACCCCUG